UGAUUACAGGUGAGAUGCUGUAGAUUGCUGCUCCUGUGCUUGUUGUGCUACUGCUUUACUGACCUGUGUGAGCAUGUCUCAAGAGAUGCUGCCAUGUCUUCCAUGCAAACCACCACAUGUGUUUUGGCAGCCAGUGUCUGCACUCAGUAUUGAAAACACUUCUGUGGCACUGGUGGAAGCUUAAUUUGUGCAAAACUGAUACUUUUCAAUUGGGAGUUAAAUUUGUGAGAUAACGUUUGUGGCUCCACCCUCCUACUUUCCUUGGAGCAAACUUGCAAAGGUACUUGCAUUUUGCAUAAUAGUUCAUCUGUUUGUACAAGCUACUGUUCCUCAUCUUUAAGUCAGCUCUCUGCGCACUGGGAUGUCAGCAUGACAUGCAAGGAUAAUAAGCGCAGUGGAGAUAACAGCCCCUUUGGAUCUGCUGCUAAUUCUGCUAUUCAAGACAUUCCCUCAGGAGAAGCACCCAGGGCUUCCACAGGCUCAAGCAGUAUUAUUUACCUCACUACUAUAGGAGCGCCAAGACUUACGCUGCGUUUGCAAAGCUUUUUGGUCACAGCUGUACUGCUGACGAAGGCAUUAUUUGCACUGGUGUGGCAAACAUCUGAACAAGACCAAACUACCAGCAGCAGAAUAAAACACAAAGGGUGUGGAGUUCGGGCGGUACGAAGACGUAAUUUCUGCUUCAUGAACACACUUACAGAAAGAGGAAAGAUUUCUGGGAAGUAAGUGUGUUUAAACAGAAAAUAAACUUCAAAGGAUAUCAUAAAAAAGGGAGGGU
rnacentral:lncRNA from 1 species